rnacentral:tRNA from 1 species
GGGCGCUUAGCUCAGCUGGUAGAGCGUCGCAUUUACACUGCGAAGGCCUGAGGUUCGAACCCUCAAGCGCCCA